CACGUAGGGUGCGAGCGUUGUCCGGAAUUAUUGGGCGUAAAGAGCUCGUAGGCGGUGUGUCGCGUCGGCCGUGAAAACCUACAGCUUAACUGUGGGCUUGCGGGCGAUACGGGCAGACUGGAGUACUGCAGGGGAGACUGGAAUUCCUGGUGUAGCGGUGGAAUGCGCAGAUAUCAGGAGGAACACCGGUGGCGAAGGCGGGUCUCUGGGCAGUAACUGACGCUGAGGAGCGAAAGCGUGGGGAGCGAACAGG
rnacentral:rRNA from 1 species